rnacentral:tRNA from 1 species
ACCUCGUUAGCUCAACUGGAUAGAGCAGCGGCCUUCUAAGCCGCGGGUUGCGGUUUCGAUUGCCGCACGAGGAACCA